GGGGUAUAGCUCAGCUGGGAGAGCGCUUGCUUCGCAUGUAAGAGGUCAGGGGUUCGAAUCCCCUUAUCUCC
rnacentral:tRNA from 1 species